GGGAGCACACUGGAAUAAUGCUCUGCUUUAUCCAGCAAUAACAUCAGCUAUUGAAGAGAGAGUCCCGCGUUCCAGAUGAUCUUUGUCGCUCAGAAUGCCACCGAAUUGCUCGACCAUCAGGCUGUUCACUACUGCCGCUGGGCUGGACUGAAAGGAAAUAAUCUGCAGUGCAAAUCUGGGGGCAGAUCAAGCAAACACAGACAGUGUUUUGUGUGGUAAAAGAGCGUUGUGCUGUCACGUUACCUUAACUGUCUAACUGUUGUCUGCUAUUGGUGACCAAGUAAGAAGGGUGUAGUCCCGCACUGACACUGUUUAUGUACAUUUUUGCUGCUUUAUUUGGACAGACUCCCACUGAAGAAGCAGGUGUGUGAUUUAUCUGGGUUCCACACCGGCUGCAGCUCCUCUGGUUUUACAUGCUGCUCUCAGCUCGGCUGCUGCAUUUGGGACAUCUGGUCGUGGACAUUGUUAAACCUGGUCAAUCGGUGCUCAGCUGGUCUCUCCCCAUUCAGGGGUAAAGUGAAUUUUCUGGAAUAGAGCAGCUGGUCCACAUAUCGCCAUGAAUACAGACAGCGGUGGCUAUGCUCGCAAACGUGCUGCUACUUCUGUUAAAUUAGCCUCUGUGAAGAGAGUGCAAAGCUCACCCAAC